rnacentral:sRNA from 1 species
UCCAUUGCUGUAUAUAUGCAGACGUAGCAGAUAGAUACCUUGUCAUUCAUGGAAAAUAAUCUUGUUUCAAAUAUCAUUUUAGACUCCAUUAGUAUGAAUGCCAGCCAUAAAAGGCCAAACACUAACUCACUCAAGUGUCUCCAUAUUCUGCAUUCAACACUGCUAUUUAGUAACUUGAUGUUCACUUCGUAACAUACAUCCUAUUCUGCAAUUGCAUGCCCCACUGUUAUCUAAUAACAAACAAACAAACAGUUUAUAUAUGAUGUAAUUAAUGAUUUUUAUGAUAAUUAUCAUAUUAAUACCAACAACAAUAAAUUGCAUACAAAUUAAACUAAUAAAAAUUUCUUGAAUAUUCCGUUGCUCAUUAUUCAUUAGAAAGACCUCACUCAGAAGCAUGUAUCAGUUCAUGAAUAAUCAUUCUUCGAUCACGUUAUUCUGCAACAGCAUGUGAUUUUCCUUUUCCUCUGGAGUCAUGAAUGCGAUGAUAGGGAAGGACUUUCCUAUUCCCACAGGGGUCUUAAAGAGUAUCUUCUUCCCCUUAGGAUCUUCAAUGCUCAUCUCAGAUAUUGGCACCCACAGCAGCAUCUGCUUGCUCUUAAUGCCUGUCAUUUUCUUCAUCCUAAACUUCUCCACAUACCCAGUGACCUCAACUGCAUAACUCACCCUGGUGUUGGUUCCUUCAAAGAAAUGCUCAUAAGGGGCCUUCUGUUUCAUCCACACGAACCCAGUUUCUCUAACUCUGCCACACUCCACCAAGUCCUGCAGGGGAAGAACACCCUUUGGAAAACCCAACUCUUCUAAGAGCUCUAUCGACUGACGAUAACACUCUUCAGAACCAUACACUAUCUCCGCCCCUUCACGCUCCUUUACAACACCGGCCAUCUCUAGAAUUUUUCAAGCUAAAACAAUGUGAUGGUAAUGGAAGAAGCCACAACUUACCAUUAUAUAAUAACAAAUGAUACAGAAAGUUGUCCUGUUUUGAAUGCAGUGGUUCACCCGUUUGCUUCAGGUGGCUUUUUGUUGUUUACCUACAUUAGCUUGGUUAGAUUAAGGUUCAAUUAUAACUUAUGCUAAAUUGUGUUAACAUAGAAAAGAUCAAACUUUAAGUGUUGAUGUGAAACUAAUGAAAUAAGUAGUUGGAUUUUGUUAGAGAUAGGUGAAACUAUGAAUCAGUUUUCAUGCCUGUCUUGUGGUGGUGGGGUUAGGUAUGGACUUUCCAGUGUGAACAAAGUUAGAGUCUUCUAACAUGCAUUUUCAAGAAUACCUGUUUUUCAACUAGGAGCAUACGUUUCAUGGUGAGAGUUUCAGUUUGAA